UACGUAGGGUGCAAGCGUUAAUCGGAAUUACUGGGCGUAAAGCGUGCGCAGGCGGCUUUGCAAGACAGAUGUGAAAUCCCCGGGCUUAACCUGGGAACUGCAUUUGUGACUGCAUGGCUGGAGUGCGGCAGAGGGGGAAGGAAUUCCGCGUGUAGCAGUGAAAUGCGUAGAUAUGCGGAGGAACACCGAUGGCGAAGGCAAUCCCCUGGGCCUGCACUGACGCUCAUGCACGAAAGCGUGGGGAGCAAACAGG
rnacentral:rRNA from 1 species